GUAAGAAUUUUUUAUUCAAAUAUUAUGGGUGAUAUUCUCAAAUUUUGUUGGUGGCGAACGGACAAAUUAUUUCUUUCUUCACAUUUUGUAAAUAAUCAUCGCAAUAAAAAUACUGAAAUCCAUAGUGGUAAUUGCCGUAGAAAAGAUCAAAGACGAAAUCACACAAAUCAGACUCCUCAAAUGCAUGUUUCGUUUCCAGAUUAGGUUGUAUUAAAUAAUAUCGUAUAAAAAGUAUCAGGUUUAAAAACUAUGGGGAAAUCAAUAGCAAUAACUGCUAAAAAUUAGAUGGAAUCAGUGCCUUGUAAAGUAAAUACUCAAAUGCAUGAUUCUACUAUUUUUUAUUGUUUGAAAUAUAUCGGGAUAUUUAAAAACCAUGUGAAAGUCUAUAUCAAUAACUGUCAAAAAUUUAAUCAAAACAUUGCAUCGAUUUAUGAUACUAUCAGCCUAAAUUGAAUGCGCACAAAAUUUCUUAUCUAAAUGCAUGAUUCAAAUAUUAUGUGUAAGUUUCUGCAGAAAAUAAAAGUAAAUUUUUUUGUUCUUCAAAAGAAAAAUCUUUCUACAGGAACUCUGUAACAUUCUGCAACAAUGUCGCUGCGAUUCUGCCACGGGGGAUCAGUUAUUGUUAUAGAUUUAUACUCAGUUCUUAAAAAUCACUAUUGGAAAGAAGUAACUUGUUUUUCCCAAAAUUUGAUUUAAGGUGCAACAGGAUUUGAGUGGUUACCCUGAUUUGUGUCAGUUUUGCUAUUACUACAAGAAUAUAUAAAACUUUUCCCAACUGAAGCAACCAUCAUUCACAAGCUGCAUUAUGCACAAUUUGAUCUUGUUAGAGGACUUUUUGCUUGCUUUGUGAAACAUGAAGCAUUUUCAGAAAUCGGAAAUUAAACACAAAAAAAAGGAUAUAGUGAACGUAAAAGAUAUAGCAAACAAAAGUAAUCAUUUAAAAAGUGAUUA